CUAUACAUGCAAGUCGAGCGGAUCAAUGGGAGCUUGCUCCCGGCGAUCAGCGGCGGACGGGUGAGUAACACGUGGGCAACCUGCCCUGCAGAUGGGGAUAACUCCGGGAAACCGGGGCUAAUACCGAAUAAUCAGUUCCUCCGCAUGGAGGAACUCUGAAAGGCGGCUUCGGCUGUCACUGCAGGAUGGGCCCGCGGCGCAUUAGCUAGUUGGUGGGGUAAUGGCCUACCAAGGCGACGAUGCGUAGCCGACCUGAGAGGGUGAUCGGCCACACUGGGACUGAGACACGGCCCAGACUCCUACGGGAGGCAGCAGUAGGGAAUCUUCCACAAUGGACGAAAGUCUGAUGGAGCAAUGCCGCGUGAGUGAAGAAGGUUUUCGGAUCGUAAAGCUCUGUUGCGAGGGAAGAACACGUACGGGAGUAACUGCCCGUACCUUGACGGUACCUCGUCAGAAAGCCACGGCUAACUACGUGCCAGCAGCCGCGGUAAUACGUAGGUGGCAAGCGUUGUCCGGAAUUAUUGGGCGUAAAGCGCGCGCAGGCGGUCCUUUAAGUCUGAUGUGAAAGCCCACGGCUCAACCGUGGAGGGUCAUUGGAAACUGGGGGACUUGAGUGCAGAAGAGGAAAGCGGAAUUCCACGUGUAGCGGUGAAAUGCGUAGAGAUGUGGAGGAACACCAGUGGCGAAGCGGCUUUCUGGUCUGUAACUGACGCUGAGGCGCGAAAGCGUGGGGAGCAAACAGGAUUAGAUAC
rnacentral:rRNA from 1 species